CAAACCCUAAAGUUUUUCAUUAUCUUCAUCUCCUCUCUCUAGCGCCGCACUCAACUCUCCUCUUCAUUUUUUCCAGCGACAAUCACCACCACUUGCUGGUGGCAGCCGCCUCUCUCUCUAUCUCUUUCUCUCCCUUCCCCUCUCAUCCCUUCUUCUCCGUCUCCUUUUUCUCCUCGUCUGACCAGCAACCGGCGAGGACCACCUGGUGAAUCUGCCAGCGAAUGGCGAAGCUCCAAGUAAUCAGCAACAGCAACUGACGAGGAGAGCAACAACAGCUCCGACCAACAACAACCAGCGCGAGAGCCAGCUCCGACUCCGACGAGCUACUGGCGAAACAACAGCGCACCAGUAGCAACGACAACAACGAUCCAGCGAGACCCUCGCAUCUCCAUUCCUCUCAUCUCCGGCGAAGUUCGAGUUCAAAGACGGAUCUCAACAAAUCCGUCCUAGUUUGAACACAAAGUUCAAGAUAUGGAGAGUCGCCAUGGGAGGGAAACAAUAGACAAGCGGAUUUCAUUUAAUUUACGUCUGUGUAUUAUUUAAUCUUUAUUAUUUUUCUGUAAUAAUCUGUAAACUCGAACUCCAUGGAUUUAUAUGAAAUACUUGGGGAAUCGUCUAAGGGGGAGGGGAUUACGUGCUAACUGUUUCUUCUUUUUUAGGCCUUAUUUUAUUAUGUGAUUGUUAUAGAUGAUUUGUAUAUCACUAAAAAAAAAAACAUACAGGCAUAUAGAAAUAUAUCCUAAUAAUUGGCUUAAAAUCAACCUUUGUUUAUAACUUUAUCUGAUUGAUCAAUCUUGCAUGAAUACGUGUUAAAAUAUGCUAUGAAUCGUGAACUUGUAGAAUCUUGUCUCACAUGCUAAUAUUAUUAAAUUUUGGAAAUUGACUAAACUAUUAGACAUCAUGCCUAUAGGUUUUUCUGAAUCUUAUUAUAAUUUUCAGCCUGUUCUAUUUAGAAAUCAUGAUCAUAAGGUUUAUUUUUCACUCUGCAUAUUAUUCGGGGUUUAGAAAAUCAUGCCUAUAGGUUUCGGAAUAUUAUUAUAACUUUAUAUAGAAAUUAUGUCUAUAAGUUUAAUAAAUUUCAACAUGUUCACUUAGAAACCAUGUCUAUAGGAUCUAACUAAUAAGACUAGUGUUAAUAAGAUUAAAUAAAAUUUCUUGUUAAAAUCUUACUCUAAUAAUUUUCAGCAUGUUCAAAAACUGAAAUAAAUUUGCUACAUAUUUUUUGUAAAUCAAAAUAAAUAUUAACUAUUUCUAGCAUGAAAAAAAAUUAACUUACAGAACUACUUUUUGCACUAUUAAUGCUGAAAUAUUUCCUGCAUGUUUAAGAGAAAUCAGUACAACAAUAUUUUGAUUAAAACCUGAGCUGUUUUAAAUUAACAGUUGUGAAUAAAUUCAGACCACUUAGAAAUCAUGCCUAUAGGUUGUAGACUUGAUUUUACUUAUUUAUAGUAUCAUGCCUAUAGGUGCUAUGCAAUAUUUUUCAAACACCUAGAGAUCAUGUUCAAGGUAUUAUUAAUUAAUCUCCAGCAUGCUAAUCACUGAAAUAAUAAUUUACUUCUGCCACUGUUUUCCAGCAUGUUAAAUAACCCAAAUUCUGUUAUGACUUUUCCGUCAUUAUCAAAGUACUGUGACAUUAUUAUAAUCUGCUACUAAAUAAAGCUAAUAAAUCAGCUCUUGCACGUUUUAAUUUUAAAAUCUGCCCUUGCAAAAUCAUGCCCGAAAUUAAUUAUUUUCCGCAUUCGAAUUGCCACUUAAAUUAAUUUCUGCACUAAUAAUACCAUAUGCUACUGUUCUAAAAAAUAUAUAUUUUCUGCAUUUGUUACUCGCUUGUCCUAAUUAAAAAUUAGCUACUGUCUUUCUACAUUUUAACAAAUUGACUGCCAUAUUAAAUUAAUCUUUGCAAUAAUAAUUAAAUUUGUUGUUGUUUUAAAAUAUUUUUGCAUGUGUGACCACUUUUCUGCUAUAUUUUAAAAUCAAUAAAUAAAAUAGGCUAUGUCAUAAAUUUCUGUCCUUUUAAAAUCAGUUGAUAAAUAAAAUCUGUUUUUCUGUAAUAAUUUUUGCCAAUCUCAAUUAAAUAAUUUCAUUGUUGUAAUGCUUGUGUAUACGCCACACACUUAGCAUGCGACCUUUUCACCUUACUUGUGUUUGCUAGCAUGUUAAUAAACUAAUCUAGAGGCCAACAUGAGAUUUACGUGCUAAAAUGCUCGUCUUAUUUGUUUGACUUGGUGUCUAGGUGGGCCUAAUUAGGAGCCUCUAUUUUUAUUUUAGUCUAAAACCUUCAUGUUAGCCGUCCAAUGCCUCUUGGACCUUAAGUGGGUACGGUAGGCACCUUUUAGAGACGAAAAUCAUGCGAUGGUGGGCUAGGGAUAGUCUAGGCCCUACGGAGAUGAUGACAUUGCCUCGAGCCGUAAAUGAUAAACAUUUGUUUUGUCUAUCUCCAUAUAGAAGUCGAGCGCUGAUCCGUAAAAUCCUUCAGAGUCUCCCUUUCCUUUUGUCUCUUUGUUUGUUUAUAAUUAUAAUUGUUUGGGGUAGCUUAAAUAAAAUAUAAAAAUUGUUUGCUUA